rnacentral:tRNA from 1 species
GGGAUAUUAGCUCAGAUGGUAGAGCACUUGACUUUUAAUCAAGCUGUCCGGGGUUCGAAUCCCCGAUGUCUCA